AAUAUGCAUCUUUUAGAUCGAUCGUGACAAACCAGUCCUCGGACCUGAUCUGAGGCACGACCUGAGUGACCGUGA